GAGAGCGAGGAUCCUAAUCAUUGGACCACCAGGGAAUUUCCCACUUAAAGACACUUUUAAAUUAAAAAUAACUUUUUUAUUAUUGCCAUAAAGGACUGUUUUUUCCUCCCUCUCCCAGCCCUAUUCCUAGGGUCUGGCACCACCUAUGAAAGCCUGAUUAACAGAAGUAGGCAUUUAGUAGGGAAAGAGACAGCAACUCUUUGCAGCAUUACAAUGCCUGAAAGGACAUGAAGGAACUAGAUGACCAACACCUUCCUGAAGGCUAUGGAAUGGAAGAUGAAUGAACGGCUGGGUUUUCCCCACAGGCUGGAAAAAAGUGAGCCAGAACCUGGCACAUUGUAGGAAGGCAUCUGACAGUGAUCUCUUUCACCGAAGAGAAGAUAUCAUUGAAGAAUUCCAAAGAACUCACAAAAGAGAAGUGGAUUCCCAUUAGUAGAACCAGAAAAGCUUAUCUAGAGUCUUGAAGGUUAAGUCUUAUUUCCUGGCUCCUAAAUUUGGCACAGUGCCUGAUACCC
ensembl:lncRNA